CUGCGCCACGAGUGGUGGUCGCGUUUAUUGGGCCUAAAGCGUCCGUAGCCGGAUUAAUAACUCUUUUGUGAAAUUGUUGGUCUUAAGCUAACAACGUGCAGAAGAAACUGUUAAUCUUGGGACCGGAGAGAAGUCAGAAGUAUGAUGGGGGGAGCGGUAAAAUGCUAUAAUCCUCAUUAUACUACCUGUGGCGAAGGCGUCUGACUAGAACGGAUCUGACGGUGAGGGACGAAAGCUAGGGGAGCAAUCCGGAUUAGAUACCCGCGUAGUCC
rnacentral:rRNA from 1 species